CCACGCCCGCCUUCAGCCUCGCCCUGCACGCCGUCCUGCUCGGGCCCCUGUCCUCCAGGCCUUCGGCGGCAGUGGUGCCCACUGGAACAUCUGGGGUAGGGGGGCUUCAUCUGGGGGACUCUCUCCAAGUACGGUACCUGGGCCUGCGUCCCCCAUCUCUCCCCAGCCUGGCCCUGGUGACUUCCCACAUGACAGCUGCUUCUUCAAGGGCUGGGUGGUGGCGCUGACUGUCACCUGCGGAAGAAGACCCUGCAGGCUGCCUCUGCUCACAGCUCCUGGCCCUGCAGCCUGUGAGGGGUGCUUCUCCGAAGCGCCCAGUGUGGUUAGCCAUCAGAGAUCUGAUGCCCACAUCAAAAAGCCCAAAAGGCUGUGGACGCAGAAGACGUGCUUGGUAAAUACCCAGAGAGUGGGUGUGUGGACGGACGAAUGACACCCCAAAUCUCAGGUAACUCCCCAACACUGUGUUCUGUUUGGAGGCUCUUGUGUUUCCCCCCAGCUCAAGACUCUGCAGUGCCCUGACCCUCCAAAAUGGGCUUCUCUCCACUUCCCACCCAGAGCCCAGGUCCUGGCUGGGGACGAGCAGAUGGUGGAACCAGGAGCAGUCUCAGCAAAAUCGAGGAGAGGGAGAGACGUGGACGGAGCAGAGGCCAGCUGAGCCUGUGGCCCCAGCUGAGCCUGUGGGCACCCAGACCCCCGCAGCCAGGACUUCCUGAAGGUGUGCUGUAGCUGACCUGGGGCAGGGCGCCAUCACCCUUG
ensembl:lncRNA